rnacentral:lncRNA from 1 species
UAGAUAAUAUUUAUACAGAAAUAGCAUACAACGCAACUAGGGAAUAGAGAACAUGAAAAGGCACCAACUUGGUACAUUGCAGCUUGUGAUACACGUCAGAAUGACCAUGACGGGAUGGAAUUGUUCAACGGUUGCGAUCUGGUCAAUAUCGAAAUCUGGCAUUUGGUAGAAAGAUGUAUAACGAACAGAAAUGCGGCCAACACUACAGAUGCACCAGGGUUAAUGAACAACGAAAUA